GACGAACGCUGGCGGCGUGCCUAAUACAUGCAAGUCGAACGCAGUGGGGACGGGUGAGUAACAAGUGGGUAACCUCCCAUCAGAGGGGAUAACACUUGGAAACAGGUGCUAAACCGAUACUGAUGGAUGGACCAGCGGUGCAGUAGCUAGUUGGUGGGGAAACGGCUCCCCAAGGCCACGAGGCAUAGCCGACCUCGUGGGGUGAUAGGCCACACUGGGCCUGAGACACGGCCCAGACUCCUACGGGAGUCAGCAGUAGGGAAUCUUCGGCAAUGGACGAAAGUCUGACCGAGCAACGCCGCGUGAGUGAAGAAGGUUUUCGGAGCGUAAAACUCUGUUGUUAGAGAAGCGGUAUCUAACCAGAAAGCCACGGCUAACUACGUGCCAGCAGCCGCGGUAAUAC
rnacentral:rRNA from 1 species